rnacentral:lncRNA from 1 species
CUUACAUCGGAUGGUGGCGUAAUUACAACCUAACCAAUCCAUGCCUAGUAUUACAUCAAAAUCCUUCAUUUUUAUCAUGUAUAGGUUCGCUUCCAUUGGUUUUUCCUCAACUUCGAUACUUACUGACUUGACUAUUCUAUCAGUAUUCAAAGGGUUGCCCGAAGGAAUACUAACUUCUAAUGUACCUUUCGACUUAUCACAGGUAAUACUAGAUUUAGCCAUAAAAGUUGUUGAAGCAAAGGAGUGUGCAGCUCCUGAAUCAAACAAUACAUAAGCAGGCGUAUUGCCUAUCAAUAGAGUACCUGCUAUGACAUUAGAGUUUUCCUCUGCAUCAUGUUGAGUCAAUGCAAAAACUCGUGCUUUCCCUUUCUGGUUCUGGUCGCUGUUAUCAUCCUUCUUCUGGGUAUGUGUGGCACAAUCCCUAAUGAUAUGUCCUGGCUUGCCACAUCGGAAGCAGACAUUUUCCCUUGUAAGCACUCGCCACGAUGUAUCCUUCCACACUCAGAACAAGGUGCAAUAACCGACACAAUGCUUUUGCAGGCAUUGGCUCCGCCAUUAGCUUUCUUGUUCUGCCACUUGCCUUUUCCCUUGUCCUGGCAAUUCCAUUUCCUUUUUUCCAUGUUACCAUUGUCCGGUUGAUUGAACAGUUGACCAUGUUGUUCGGUGCUAGUCUUCUGGUACCAAAUAGCAUGAGCUCUUUCUAGCAUUUCACGGUAUGUGGUGAAGCGAUGGGACAUAAGUAUCAUGCUUAUAUUCGAGUUCAACCCUUGUUCAAACCUUCGUACCUUCUUAUCUUCCGUAUCCACCAGAUGUGGAGCAUACCUUGAAAGUUGAUCAAACUUCCUCUCAUACUCAGUUAGGGACAUAGUCUUUUGCUUGAGUUGGAGGAAUUCACUUUCUUUGUGAUCCCUCAAAGACUGGGGAAAGUACUUGUCCAUUACUUCCCCUUUGAAUUGCUCCCAAGUCAAUUCUACUUGUUGCUCAGGGGUCCUUGUCCUUGACAUUGAGUCCCACCAGUGACUUGCAUCACCGGAGAACAUGAACUCAGCACACUAGACUUUCUGAGCGUCUGUGCACCCUAUCAAUCGAAAUAUACGCUCCAACUUGCGAAGCCACUCCUCGACUGCAAGUGGAUUAGCUGCUCCAUUGAAGGUAGGGGGCUUGUGCCUUCGAAACUGUUUGACCACUGAAACAUGGUUUGGAACAUUAGGAGCUAGUGGUAGGGGUUGAGCUUGGUUCGGGUCUUGCCUGCCUAGGUCUUGAACCGCUCGGAGGAGGUCUCUUAUCAAGUUUUGGUUUGCGCGGGCCAAUUCCUUUAGAUAAA